AAUGGAUUCCACACACGGCCCCUGGCAGCACUGCUGAGCAUGGGGCAGGUGUGUGCACUGAGGCACACGGAGGCUGGCGCCCAGGGCAGCUGCCACAGCUCUCUGGGGACAGGGACAACAAUCCGGCCUCCCCAACCUUCUCAGUCUGGCCUGUGGCCUCUGCCUCUCACGCAGGGUCCUUCACCAGGGUCCUCAACCUCGCAGGCUGCUCCCCUCUUGGGGCCGAGCAGGCACCUGGACUGGUUCCCUCUGCUUGUCCAGCCUUAGUGCCACCUCCGGAGGGCCUUCUCUGACCCCAGGCCACGGCUUCUCUUCACUCUCAGGCUCCUGUGGGAUCCUCGUGGAUUUCACAGUCGCCUGUCCUCUCGGCUGGGACCCUCCCGAAGCACAGGCAACCCUGUGGUGUACCCGGCCAUUCUAGAUCCCAAGGAUAUGGGGACAUGCAGAAGCUGCUUCCUGCCAUCACGGAGUACAUGACAUCACUGAAGACAGAAAUAAUGUGGGAUUACAUUACCAGAUUACAAAAUAAAGAUGCCAUAGUCGAUAGCCACUUAGAAAGCUUACUGGGAAAAUAGUGACAAUUGCCACUGUAGGAAUCAUACAGGUGGGGCUGGGGCUAUAGCUCAUUGGUAGAGUGCCCGCCUGGUAUGAGGUACUGGGUUCGAUCCUCAGCACCACACAAAAAUAAAAUAAAGAUAUUGUGUCCAAUUACAACUGAAAAAUAUUUUUUAAAAAAUCAUACAGGUGUGUGUGUAGGGGAAGCUGGGGAUAUAGCUCAGUUGGUAGAGUGCUUGCCUCUCAUGCACAAGGGCCUGGGUUCAAUCCCCAGCACCACACACACACACACACACACACACACACACACAUCACACAGGUGUUAGGCAAAGAAACUUCCAAAACUAUAGCACAAUGCAAAGCUUCAAUAUUUGGAGACUUUUACUUCAUUUUAAAACUGAAUAAGGAUGUCAUUUGUUUAACUGAAACACCUUUAAUACAAAACCAGUCAAAAUUCAGAUGGGAUUUUUGGUGUUGGAAGAAGUUUGACCAAAUUCUAUAAUCUACAUGAAAAUUACAUAGAAAAAUAUAUGCAAUUGGGAGUCAGCAAGAAUUUGUUUUGUUUAUGGUACUGGGGAUUGAACCCAGGGCUUAAGUAUGCUGGGCAAAUGCUUUACUACGGAGUUGCACCCAGCCCAAGUAUUUUUUUCUUUAAAGAAUGAUAAUGUCAGAAGCUUACACUGUCAGGCACUACGAUGUAUUCCAAAGCCAUAAUCAUCAUGGUAUUUUCUUGGCAGAUUGGGGAGCAGAGUAAGUCUGAAUAUAGAUCCAUGGGAAUUUAAGAAUUUGCUUUGUGAUAGAGAAUACUCAAGUCAGUUGUUCCCAUGACCUUGGACUUCAUUUGGGGUGGACAGAGAUGAACCUCUCUUCUCCCUCCAAAGAUAUUCUUCCAGGGGCUUUGCCAGCAAGAGGCUGACUAAAAGCAAUUAGUUCCAGUGUGCCCAGAGUGCUCCCUUCCCCUAUCUUAUAUGGUCCUCAGGAGGCAGCAUGAGAUCAAAUACACUAAAAAAGUAAAAUAAAGUCCACUCUAACCCUAGGAUUAAGUUAUCCAAACCUACCAUUGCAAAUUAGAAAAAGGGAGAGAAAGUGAAACUCCCUUGAGCCCACUAUGCACAUAUAUUUAUUUUUUUCCAAAACUGAGAUCAUAAAGUGUACGCAGUUUUGUAACCUGCUGAGUUCAUGUCAUAUCAUAUAUUGUGUUUAAAUAUAUUUUAAGCCUUUGAAAAUGUAA